UGAUACUGCAUUACUUUUCUUUUGUUUCAAUUUAGAUUAAAUUAUUAAAAUCAUAGUUUAUUUGCAGGCUACUAAUGUUGAACCGGGAAAUGAAUUGGGAAAACCUGUGGAUAUUAACAAUGCUGAAGAUCACAUCUUUGGACUUGUUCUGCUCAAUGACUGGAGUGCUCGAGAUAUUCAGGCAUAGGGAUAUAUUUCUCUUGGUCCAUUUCUUGGCACAACAAUAUCACCUUGGAUUGUGACCAUGGAAGCAUUAGAACCUUUUGCUAGAGAAACCCCAAAACAGGAAAAUGAUUAUUCUAUUGGGUUUGAUACUGCUCGGGCAAGAUUGUACCUGUAGCUCCCUGAGGUUGGUUUGAAUUAAUGAAACUUUGAUGUGAAAAUACUUAGCAAAAAUAUUUAAUCAUUUGAGAAAAUAUUGUAUUUAAAUUGGUGUAAUGAAACUACACAUACAUAUAUUUGAUUCUAAUAUAUU